AUGGAUAGUCUCAUCAUCACUCAGAAGAUAUCCCCUUGGAAAUUCUGGGUAGGCUAAUUCAGAAGUGGACCAAGGGUUGGCAAUUUCUUGAGAGGUUGAAACCGGUGGAGGAAUCGAGCCUGAGCUUGCAUUUGGAUCAAUAUUGUGGUUGAAAUCAAAGAGUUGUGUGGGCUCAAACCCAAAGUAAUCUCCCCCGAAAGAGUCAUGGAUAGUCUCAUCAUCACUCGGGAGAUACCCCUUGGAAAUUCUGGGUAGGCUAAUUCAG
rnacentral:lncRNA from 1 species